rnacentral:misc_RNA from 1 species
GAUGAAGAACGUAGCGAAAUGCGAUAAGUAAUGUGACUUGCAGAAUUCAGUGAAUCAUCGAAUCUUUGAACGCACAUUGCGCCCGCCAGUAUUCUGGCGGGCAUGCCUGUUCGAGCGUCAUUACAACCCUCAGGCCCCCGGGCCUGGCGUUGGGGAUCGGCGGAGCCCCCCGUGGGCACACGCCGUCCCCCAAAUACAGUGGCGGUCCCGCCGCAGCUUCCAUCGCGUAGUAGCUAACACCUCGCGACUGGAGAGCGGCGCGGCCACGCCGUAAAACACCCAACUCUUCUGAAGUUGACCUCGAAUCAGGUAGGAAUACCCGCUGAACUUAAGCAUAUCAAUAAGCGGAGGA